GUGCCUACGGGGGGCAGCAGUGGGGAAUAUUGGACAAUGGGGGGAACCCUGAUCCAGCGACGCCGCGUGAGUGAAGAAGUAUUUCGGUAUGUAAAGCUCUAUCAGCAGGGAAGAAAAUGACGGUACCUGACUAAGAAGCCCCGGCCAACUACGUGCCAGCAGCCGCGGUAAUACGUAGGGGGCAAGCGUUAUCCGGAUUUACUGGGUGUAAAGGGAGCGUAGACGGUGCAGCAAGUCUGAAGUGAAAGCCCGGGGCUCAACCCCGGGACUGCUUUGGAAACUGUAUGGCUGGAGUG
rnacentral:rRNA from 1 species